rnacentral:rRNA from 1 species
GAUAACCGCUGAAAGCAUCUAAGUGGGAAGCCCCCCCCAAGAUGAGUACUCCCAGACAUCAGUCUCGGAAGGGCCGUGCGAGACUAGCACGUUGAUAGGCGGCAAGUGGAAGCGUGGAGACACGUGUAGCUGAGCCGUACUAAUGGCCCGAGAGGCUUGACCAG